rnacentral:rRNA from 1 species
AUGCAAGUCGAACGCUUCUUUCCUCCCGAGUGCUUGCACUCAAUUGGAAAGAGGAGUGGCGGACGGGUGAGUAACACGUGGGUAACCUACCCAUCAGAGGGGGAUAACACUUGGAAACAGGUGCUAAUACCGCAUAACAGUUUAUGCCGCAUGGCAUAAGAGUGAAAGGCGCUUUCGGGUGUCGCUGAUGGAUGGACCCGCGGUGCAUUAGCUAGUUGGUGAGGUAACGGCUCACCAAGGCCACGAUGCAUAGCCGACCUGAGAGGGUGAUCGGCCACACUGGGACUGAGACACGGCCCAGACUCCUACGGGAGGCAGCAGUAGGGAAUCUUCGGCAAUGGACGAAAGUCUGACCGAGCAACGCCGCGUGAGUGAAGAAGGUUUUCGGAUCGUAAAACUCUGUUGUUAGAGAAGAACAAGGACGUUAGUAACUGAACGUCCCCUGACGGUAUCUAACCAGAAAGCCACGGCUAACUACGUGCCAGCAGCCGCGGUAAUACGUAGGUGGCAAGCGUUGUCCGGAUUUAUUGGGCGUAAAGCGAGCGCAGGCGGUUUCUUAAGUCUGAUGUGAAAGCCCCCGGCUCAACCGGGGAGGGUCAUUGGAAACUGGGAGACUUGAGUGCAGAAGAGGAGAGUGGAAUUCCAUGUGUAGCGGUGAAAUGCGUAGAUAUAUGGAGGAACACCAGUGGCG